UACGUAGGGUGCGAGCGUUAAUCGGAAUUACUGGGCGUAAAGCGUGCGCAGGCGGUUUUGUAAGCCAGAUGUGAAAUCCCCGGGCUUAACCUGGGAACUGCAUUUGGGACUGCAAGGCUUGAGUACGGCAGAGGGGGGUAGAAUUCCUGGUGUAGCAGUGAAAUGCGUAGAUAUCUGGAGGAACACCGGUGGCGAAGGCGGCAUCCUGGACCGGCAUUGACGCUGAGUGAGCGAAAGCCAGGGGAGCAAACGGG
rnacentral:rRNA from 1 species